rnacentral:lncRNA from 1 species
UUAAGCCUUAGUAAAAGACGAGUAAAGUGUAAACUUAAACUUAUGUUUGAGUUUAUUCAUCAUAUUAAACGCAUACUAGGCUGAUAACAAAAAAGACCAGCACCACAAUUUACAAAAUCUAUGUAUGAUGAUGAUUCAACAACAUCGUUUUUAUCGUUUUAUCGUGUAAGUUUUAAUGGCAUGGCAUAGAGCAUCUUCUGGGGAAUCUCAGAGACCAGGGAAGACAAGGAAAAAACGACACACAAAUGGCGUGUAUUUGGCUCUGGUGACGGAUUUAUAGGAAGCAUAGAAGGCCAUAAGAAUGCCAGGGCAGAAGUAAUGGAUGUCAUUCAUCAUCUCCAAAGUUUCCUUCUUGUCUUUCUUGUAUGUGUUGUUGAACUGUUGCCGAUUGGGCAUCAUCUAAUGUCUCUGGUAUACCAGGAGCUACAGUGAGAGGGUCGUCCAUACCUUGAGGAAAUGUCCAGUCAACAGAGAUGUUGUCUUGGCUUCAACAAGAACGGCGAGAGACCGCUCUCGAUAAAGCGAAGAAAAUGGAGAUACCUACGACAGUAAAUAACGUUGUGUGAAUGUGUCAUUUGUUUUUAAUUUAUUGUAAAGCCAGUCGUUUGUCUGAGCACAAACUAACUUCUUGCAUUAAUUAUCCCUAUUUCGUCUAUCCAUCCGUUGAGAAUGGUUUAGUGCUACACGUCAAAUUACAGGGCAAAAUAUAAUCCUCAAUUUCAAAAAGAGCCAUGCACCAAUGCCAUUUCUCAUGGCAAGUUUUAUAUGCUCUUGGAUGCAGCAAAAUAUUGAUAAGUUAAACGCUAAAGGGGCUGAUUCAAAAGCUGUUCAUGAUAGAAUUACUCGUAUUUACAGCCGACCUGGAAAAACAUACUGUCGUACCUACGACAGAAUAUUACCAGGACAAGACAAGUGUAUCAUUGUGUAUGUCAAGAAACGAACCUAUACGCUUCCAAUUCUGUUUUUCGCUUUCAAGUACAAGUGUUUAGUCGACAGCAUUUUAAAAUAAAACGUCACUAUGAUAACUGCAGUAAAGCUUCGUCAUGGAGGCACCUUGAAUGGCUUUAAUGGUGAUAUGAUUUUAACAAUAUCAUGGUUACAAGAUCUCGUAUUUUAGGUUGAUUGAAUACUACUAGCAUUAAAUUAUGCUCUGUAGGCAAACCUUGCAGGAUUUGGAAAAAUCAUUACUUUUUCUGAGGAAGAUUUUGAGAAGGCCUUGUAGGAUUUUGAAUCAAGAAAUUAUUAUAUCGACUAGAUAUUUUGAUGAAUAAGAAAUAUUGCGUUAUUUCCGGUAAAUAUUAAACAAAACUUUACAGAUGAUAGUCAUGAGACGUGAUCUACUUUGUGUUAAGUUUUUCGAUUUUUGUAGUAUUACUGUUUAGUAUUCCCAAGCGAUACUGUGUAGUCGAUACCUAUUGAAGUCAUUCGGUUCUCUCCAUUUCCUUAAACAGGGUUAUUUAUUAUUAACUUUACUAUCACAUGCAUGAUAAGUAUUUGUUACGUGAAAAAUGUAAUGUUUGUUGUUCCAGGUGAUCUGGAAUGGCGGCUGAGGACUGGGACUGGGGCUAGUUGUCAAAUGAAAAUCCAUUUCUCGGUUGAAACAACUUGAAAUAUAUUUUAUUACGGUUUCAAAUUUAUGUCAGAGCUAUAGUUCUUAUAACUUAACAUGCAUAAUCACAAAAUUUCUUCAAGUCAGUUCAUAUUAGAUUUAUAAAGAAUAACAUAAGAUAUAAACCAUUUAAUAUUGCAGAAUAGAUUAGUAUUUUGACAGACAACCCUUCCGAGCGCUGAUUUACUAAAAGAUGAGUGCGAGAUUGCCUGCUAUAUGACGAUAUUUGAUCCUGAAAAUGCGAGGGACAUAGCAACCUUAUC